AUACGUAGGGUGCAAGCGUUAAUCGGAAUUACUGGGCGUAAAGCGUGCGCAGGCGGUUUUGUAAGACAGGGGUGGAAUCCCCGGGCUCAACCUGGGAACUGCCAUUGUGACUGCAAGGCUGGAGGGCGGCAGAGGGGGAUGGAAUUCCGCGGGUAGGAGUGGAAUGCGUAGAUAUGCGGAGGAACACCGAUGGCGAAGGCAAUCCCCUGGGCCUGCACUGACGCUCAUGCACGAAAGCGUGGGGAGCAAACAGGAUUAGAUACCCUGGUAGUCCACGCCCUAAACGAUGUCAACUGGUUGUUGGGGAUUUAUUUUCUCAGUAACGAAGCUAACGCGUGAAGUUGACCGCCUGGGGAGUACGGCCGCAAGGUUAAAACUCAAAGGAAUUGACGGGG
rnacentral:rRNA from 1 species